rnacentral:sRNA from 1 species
UUUGCCAGCACUUCGGGUGGGAACUCUAAGGAGACUGCCGGUGACAAACCGGAGGAAGGAGAGGAUGAUGUCAAGUCAUCAUGGCCCUUACGGCCUGGGCUACACACGUGCUACAAUGGGGAGUACAGAGGGCCGCGAAGCCGCAAGUUGGAGCAAAUCCCAGAAAACUUCUCGUAGUCCGGAUUGGAGUCUGCAACUCGACUCCAUGAAGUCGGAAUCGCUAGUAAUCGCGAAUCAGCAUGUCGCGGUGAAUACGUUCCCGGGCCUUGUACACACCGCCCGUCACAUCAUGGGAGUGGGUUGCACCAGAAGUGGCUAGUCUAACUUCGGAGGACGGUCACCACGGUGUGAUUCAUGACUGGGAUGAAGUCGUAACAAGGUAGCCGUAGGGGAACCUGCGGCUGGAUCACCUCCUUAACCUUUUGUAUACAUCUCGAGUAUCCACAACCUAUUGUUUGAUUCUUCUUGUUUAUAUCUUGACCUUUUCUUACUUGGCAGAGGUGUGCGAAAGCUGCGAAAACCGGAGAAGAAAAAGGCCAGACAUAACCAUAGAAACGCUAGAAGGUCCUAGCGUAGGUUCUUUAAAAAUGCGUAUAAGUGAUAAAGUCUGUAGACGAAUAUGAAAAAAUUUACAUAUUCUGAAACAAAAAUGACAUCCGCAAAUGAGAGAUGAGUUUUUAAAUAAUUCUUAGAGCUCAAACGCUAAGAUUUAUUCUUUCCAAAAAACUAAUCACCACAUUUGUAUUUCAAGCGUAAUUAUCCGGUAGAGACAUGACUUUGAAUGAGAGCUUGCUUAAAUAAAGGGAAAAGCUCUCGCUUUCAGGGGAAUAACAAACUGCUAUUCUCCACGAGAGCAAGUUCAAGUUAUAUGAUCAAGCGAAUAAGCGUAUACGGUGGAUGCCUAGGCAGUUAGAGGCGACGAAGGACGUUGUGGUCUGCGAUAAGCUCGGGGGAG